CACGGAUGGACGAGUGUUAUUCAUCAUAACUAGGCGUAAAGGGCUUCUCGGUGGUUUAUUGUGUUUUUAUUAAAAAACGAGGUUUUUCACCUUGGGUUAUUAUUUAUACUAAUAAACUGGAAUAUUGCAGAAAUAUAAGAUACUUUAAAUGUAAAGGUAAAUUUGUAAAAAUUUAAAGGAUGACCAGUCAGGUGAAGACGUUAUAUUAUGUUAUAUUGACACUUAAGGGCUAAAGUAUAAGUAUCAAUGGG
rnacentral:rRNA from 1 species